GACAGAGGGUGCAAACGUUGUUCGGAAUUACUGGGCGUAAAGCGCACGUAGGCGGCUUUGUAAGUUAGAGGUGAAAGCCCGGGGCUCAACCCCGGAAUUGCCUUUAAGACUGCAUCGCUAGAAUUGUGGAGAGGUAAGUGGAAUUCCGAGUGUAGAGGUGAAAUUCGUAGAUAUUCGGAAGAACACCAGUGGCGAAGGCGGCCAACUGGACAGAUACUGACGCUGAGACUCGAAAGCGUGGGGAGCAAACAGG
rnacentral:rRNA from 1 species